GCUACAACACACGAUUGAGCUGUUUCCUUUCUUCUCUAUGGCUGUGCACAAGUAUUCAGAUACAUUAGAUGAAUUAUUGGAGUAGAGACUAGUGGAAGACAAUAGUCAUGAAUUAUUUUGUGGAACUGAGGAGUUUAUUAUGAUUUUUAUGGCAUUAAACUUUGUAUUGGAGAAUUAUUUUGAGAAUGUUUUGUCUUUGGUGGAUUAGAGCUCUGACAUUUGUGAUGAAAUUUUAGAUUGUUGGUUUCUUUCA